AGGCAAGGCAAGGCAAGGCAGGUUGUUUCCCUGAGGGGAAGGGAACCCAGUGAACUUCAGUUAUGUAAAGCUCUCUAACAAGAAAGUAUAACCAUGUUCGCCAACCUAAACUAGGAUUCUAUCAUGAAAAUUAUGACAGCUAAACUGAUUAUGACAAAGAUGAAAUUCCAGCGUCUUUACCCAGUUUGAUCUGUGGUAGUCAGAGAAGUCACGAGAAGAAGUCAGUCGGCAGAUGGCCCUACCUCCAAGCUCAUUGGUGGACCUAUCCCAGAGGAUGGUGACUCCCCUCCAGCCUUUUUCCAAGAACAGCAAUUCACAGUAAUUAUAAAACUCCUGUUAUUUGUG